AAUACAAAUUAAGUUUUAAGCAUUUUUGUAAAAAGUAUAACCUGUAUUAAUGUGUAGCAAACAUUUGUAAUUACUUUCCUAGGACGUCAAUUUUGCAUGUCAAUUACAAUCAAUAUGCCAUUUAUUUGAGAUUGUUUUACCAUUUAUUUUCAGGAGAUAACAGUUCUGGAAAAAAUUGUAUGUGUAGAGGAAUCUCUCGUUGGAGGAUAUGUGGUCGUAAACUAUGAUGGUAUGCCAUACCCUGGUGUUGUGCAAGCUGUCGCUGAAAAUGAUCUUGAAGUACAGGUUAUGCACAGAAUCGGCAGAAAUCGCUUCUUCUGGCCGAGGAUGGAAGAUGUGCUGUGGUAUAGCCAGGACAAAAUUAUAACACUGCUCCAAAAAGAACCAGAGCAAGUUACGUCAAGACACCGACAGA